rnacentral:misc_RNA from 1 species
GUUACUUUUAUAGUUUUUUACAUUCAAGACAUGUGGUUGUAUGUUAAAGCGGAAGCGAACCUGCAUGCAGGAUGCGACCGAAAUGUGCACAGGUGUGUGAAUUUUAUCAGCGUGCAGCCUAAGCGCACAGCUGAAGAGUUUGACCCGGAGGUCAAGAAUCUUUAAUGAUCCUUCCGCAGGUUCACCUACGGAAA